rnacentral:rRNA from 1 species
GGGGUUGACGGUACCCUACUAGAAAGGAGCCGCUAACUUCGUGCCAGAAGCGUCGGUAAUACGGGGGCUCCAAGCGUUAUCCGGUGUUAUUGGGCGUAAAGAGUCGUGUAGGUGGUUGGGUAAGUUAUCUUUCAAAUAUCUUUGCUUAACAAAGAGGAGGGGGAUAAUACUGCUCGACUAGAAUUUUCUCAAGGGAGAUCGGAACUGAGGGAGGAGUAGUGAAAUGCGUUGAUACCCUCGGGAACACCAGUGGCGUAGGCGGAUCUCUGGGAGAAGAUUGACACUGAGACACGAAAGCUAGGGGAGCGAAGCAGAUUAGAGACCUGCGUAGUCCUAGCCGUAAGCGCAUGCUUGCUAGCUGCAUGAAUCUACCUUCGGGUGGUAUCGUGUGGCGAAGGUAACCCGUUAAGCAAGCCGCCUGGAAAGUACGGCCGCAAGGCUGAAAUUCAAAGGAAUUGGCGGGGAGGCACACAACCAGUGGAACAUGUGGUUUAAUUCGAGACUAACCGAAGAACCUCACCAGGGUUUGACAUGUAGCUGCACGUCUUAAGAAAUUAAGACUCUCUUGAAGGUGCUACACAGGUGCUGCAUGGCUGUCGUCAGCUCGUUCCGUGAGGAGUGCCCUUAAGUGGGACAACGAGCGCAACCCCUAUUACAUGUUAGAAAUGUCAUGUAAGACUGCCUUGCCAUUUGGCGGGGAGGAAGGAGGGGCAGACGUCAAGUCCGCAUGGUCCUUAUGCCCUGGGCUACACACAUGUUACAAUGAGUACGGCAAUGAGUCUGUCGCGAGCACGUAAGUGUAAGCUAAUCUCUUAAAUGUACUCUCAGUGGGGAUUGAGGUCUGCAACUCGACCUCAUGAACACGGAGUUGGUAGUAAUCGCGGGUCAGCUAUACCGCGGUGAUACGUUCUGCCUCUUGCACACACCGCCCGUCA